rnacentral:misc_RNA from 1 species
GGCUGAUCGACGGCAGAGAAGCUGUCUACUUCCUGCGCCGCAUCAAGGACGUGGUUGAAGACCCACGGAGAUUGCUCCUCGACAUAUAAACUCCGCGCGCGCCACCAAUCGCAGCCUGAGAGCUGCUUUGUGCUUUGUCUGGAAAAUAAUACUGCAAAUUUUUGACUGAUACAAAGAGUUGCUUUUCUGAGAAAGACGAAAUUUGAGUUGAGGAUACCGUGAGGGGGUCUCUCUGACAAUUAUAGACGAGAGCACCAAAUCCGAAUCUUAAAUCUUAU